rnacentral:rRNA from 1 species
GGGAACUGAAACAUCUAAGUACCCCGAGGAAAAGAAAUCAACCGAGAUUCCCCCAGUAGCGGCGAGCGAACGGGGAGGAGCCCAGAGCCUGAAUCAGUGUGUGUGUUAGUGGAAGCGUCUGGAAAGGCGCGCGAUACAGGGUGACAGCCCCGUACACAAAAAUGCACAUGCUGUGAGCUCGAUGAGUAGGGCGGGACACGUGGUAUCCUGUCUGAAUAUGGGGGGACCAUCCUCCAAGGCUAAAUACUCCUGACUGACCGAUAGUGAACCAGUACCGUGAGGGAAAGGCGAAAAGAACCCCGGCGAGGGGAGUGAAAAAGAACCUGAAACCGUGUACGUACAAGCAGUGGGAGCCUCUUUAUGGGGUGACUGCGUACCUUUUGUAUAAUGGGUCAGCGACUUAUAUUCUGUAGCAAGGUUAACCGAAUAGGGGAGCC